CCCCUAGAUGUUCUGGGCCACACGCGCGUUACACUGAACAGUUCAACAAGUCUUAACCUUGGCCGAUAGGUCUGGGUAAUCUUUGAACGCUGUUCGUGAUUGGGAUAGACCUUUGCAAUUAUGGGUCUUCAACGAGGAAUUCCUAGUAAACGCAAGUCAUCAGCUUGCAUUGAUUACGUCCCUGCCCUUUGUACACACCGCCCGUCGCACCUACCGAUUGAAUGGUCCGGUGAAAUCUCGGGACGGCGGCUUGGUCGCUUGCGUCCGACUGCUGAAACUUGAUUAAACCAUAUCAUUUAGAGGAAGGUGAAGUCGUANCA
rnacentral:rRNA from 1 species